UUUAAUAUGGCAGAAAAAGUGCAAUGAAUUUAAGAUUCAUAAAUAAGGUUAUUUUUUAUUAAAA
rnacentral:tRNA from 1 species